CAGUAGCCACGGUAAUACGAAGGGGGCUAGCGUUGUUCGGAAUUACUGGGCGUAAAGCGCACGUAGGCGGACAUUUAAGUCAGGGGUGAAAUCCCGGGGCUCAACCCCGGAACUGCCUUUGAUACUGGGUGUCUAGAGUAUGGAAGAGGUGAGUGGAAUUCCGAGUGUAGAGGUGAAAUUCGUAGAUAUUCGGAGGAACACCAGUGGCGAAGGCGGCUCACUGGUCCAUUACUGACGCUGAGGUGCGAAAGCGUGGGGAGCAAACAGGAUUAGAUACCCCAGUAGUCCCUGUCUCUUAUAC
rnacentral:rRNA from 1 species